rnacentral:rRNA from 1 species
UACGUAGGGCGCAAGCGUUGUCCGGAAUUAUUGGGCGUAAAGAGCUCGUAGGCGGUCUGUCGCGUCCGUUGUGAAAACUCGAGGCUCAACCUCGGGCCUGCAGUGGGUACGGGCAGACUAGAGUGCGGUAGGGGGAGAUUGGAAUUCCUGGUGUAGCGGUGGAAUGCGCAGAUAUCAGGAGGAACACCAAUGGCGAAGGCAGAUCUCUGGGCCGUAACUGACGCUGAGGAGCGAAAGCAUGGGGAGCGAACAGG